UGCCAGCCGCCGCGGUAAUACGGAGGGUGCAAGCGUUAAUCGGAAUUACUGGGCGUAAAGCGUACGCAGGCUGUUGUAUAAGUCAGAUGUGAAAUCCCGGGGCUCAACCUCGGAACUGCAUUUGAUACUGUAAAACUUGAGUAUAGUAGAAGUGGGUGGAAUUCUACAUGUAGCGGUGAAAUGCAUAGAUAUGUAGAGGAACGCCAAUAACGAAGGUAACUCACUAGGCUAUUACUGACGCUGAGGUACGAAAGCGUGGGGAGCAAACAGGAUUAGAUA
rnacentral:rRNA from 1 species